rnacentral:rRNA from 15 species
GGAAGGGACGUAUUUAUUAGAUAAAAAACCAAACUUGUUUCUCGGUGACUCAUGAUAACUGAUCGGAUCGCAUGGCCUCGUGCCGGCGACGUUUCAUUCAAAUUUCUGCCCUAUCAACUGUCGAUGGUAGGAUAGAGGCCUACCAUGGUGGUAACGGGUGACGGAGAAUUAGGGUUCGAUUCCGGAGAGGGAGCCUGAGAAAUGGCUACCACAUCCAAGGAUGGCAGCAGGCGCGCAAAUUACCCA